UCCAGCUUAAUAUAUUCAGGCAGUUCAAUUGCCAGUUCAUAAAAAAAGUAUUGCGAUGAGGACGUUGUUGAUGGUUGUCAAUGGCAAAGUCGGAGUUGGUUGCUUGCUUCAGGAGAAGUGACAAUGAUGAUGCUUGUGCUGCCUCGGCCACGCUUCUCUUGGUUUAUUUGAAGCAGAGGAAUUUCGAAGCAAAGUGCAGGUAUGAGGUAUUUACAACCCAAACUCGGAGUUGGUAGCAUUCGGACUGGACAAUUGCUUCACAUGAUGGGGAAAAUAUCUGCACAUUUUGCUGAAAAUUGAAAUGACAAGCCUACGAAUAUGUUGGUCGAAUUGUCAGUGAUUCACAUACCCGCCUUCACAUAAACUAUGAAGGGACUAGAGAUUAUUUCUCGGCGGCUCAGGUACUUCAUGCUUCCGCUACUGCCAUAUUUACACUGCCAGAAAAAAACACAGCACACCCAGAGCAGAGCUAGAGUAGUUCCCAGUACACCUUACCUUCUGGAACUGAUCCAAACUCUUCAACUCAGCCAGGGUUCAGAGAGUUCACCAAUCUGCCGUAACUGUCAACCCGUCACAAUCUCAAGAGUCUGUAUAUAACAAUAGUCUAUAUAUACUCAUUUCUAUUUAUGUAAAUCGUAGUAGGGUCAGAUUUCUUAUAGCCUAUAUAGGGGAUAAUAUGCACAAUCGGGAACAAACGCACUCAUGCACUCUCCACCUUCAGCUGGGAAGGGGGCGUUGGGAUUCGUUCAGCACCUCAUCGGGCCGCUCUGCUCGCGAAACAUGGAUAAACACAACACACACACACACACACUCACACCUAUAACAUCUGCUUUCUUAUCUGCACAGUGCAAAGCAAGUGAGGUUCCCUGCUUGCUGUUUGCGGCCUAGAAAAGCUGAAAAAGAGGCUUGUCGAACCGUCACCGAAUGACCGGAGGUCUGCUGGCUUCACCAGUGCCCUGCAUAGUGGGCAGGUGCGCUCCCUCUCAAACCUGCCAUCAUCAAGAUAAAAAACGUUACAAGGGAAAUGCUACAAGAUACUCUGAAUGUUGAGAUCAUGAAAAACUGUAACUAGAGGGGAGUGGACGGAAUGUCUGUGCAUUAUCAUCUAUUUUAUUUCCUGAAACACAAACUAGCUGUGCCAGUUCAAUAUGUGAAUUCUCAUCAGUACAUGGCUUCCUCCGUCGUGUGAUCAAUGGUCGGAGCUCACCGAUGAUGGAGGAUGUGGAGCUUCACUACCAUUCGCAGCUCCAGCCAUGGUCCGGAUCAUACUGAGGCUCUGGACCCUCCCUCAUAAACUCACCUUGAGGACAUCUAUUUUAUUUCCUGAAACACAAACUAGGUGUGCCGGUUUUGUAUGUGAAGUAUCAUCAGUUUGUGAAAAACACAUAUGACAGUACUAUGUGUGUGUGUGCAAAAUAAAACCGAGUGUUUUUAUUGUAUAAUAGUUUUGCACCAAAAGGUUAUUCUGAAGCGGGUGGCUAGUGUUGCAGUAGUUCAGAAUGUUGAACCCACAUUGAUGCAGGCGCUCAUGAGUAGAGGCAGGCGCACCCAUGAGCAUUCUUCCAAUGUGGUGUUCGCCGCCGGCGCCACAGUCCGUUCACGCCCGAUAGCCGAGGCCGUUCAAUGACACAACGACAAGGUCUGGCCUUCCCCGUUCCUCUUUUCAUGUUGUGGCAUUAUCGAACUCGUGUAAUGACUGAUUCUGUACUGUUGUUGGUUGCAUUGGUGAUGCUUUUACAAGUGUGGAAAACAAAGCUAGUGUCCUACUUUGCUUGUAUAUUAAGAGUUCGCCUAUGAGUCUCCUACAUGUACUGGUGAUGCUACUUCAUCUCUACUUGUUGUGAAAUAAGGUUUUUGUUGAUUUGCUUACAAGAAAUGAAAUAUCCUUCUUGAUGUUUCUUUGUUGCCAAAUAAAGCUAUUGUUUGAUUGACACCACCUUCUUGCAUCAAGUGACACCAAGCAUGUUUAAUUGAAUGCUCACAAGAAAUGAUCACACAUCAAAGUGACACCCUCAGUUUAAAACUAAUUUUAGAUCAGCGCAAUUCUUAUUUUUAUUCAGUACUCUUCGUGCGGAUGAUUCCUGGUUGCUUCUCCUGUUCUGAACUUGUUGCUCAAUUGCACAGGUAUUGCCAGAGUACUGUCUAGUCUGAAGCCAGCUACACAUUCGCACAUGAGUCGGUGCUCCUAAAGUGCUCUAAUUAGCAAUAGAAAAUGACAAGGGAGUGCAUCCAAAAGAUAGGUGGCAAGCAUGCCUGCUACAGUGUGUUGAUAACUGAAUUGAAGGAUCUUCAGUAUAUGAACCACAAAAAGAAAGGUGCAUCCCGUACAAACAAAGAAGUGCAUGCAGUACAUCAGCUCAAGAUCCAAUGGUUCAAUUAUCUUUUGGUUUGGCGAAAUGCUUCUCUUGCAGGUUUUUUGUUUUGCUGUAAUUUUCAUUUAUAUCACAGGAUGUAACACCAUCUCUGAAACAAAUGCAUAUGUUCAGUUAAGAACUUGGCGUGGUGGGUGUACUGUUGAUAAUCUGAACUUGUUUCUCUCAACUACAGAAAACAUGUAACCUUUGUUGUGCUCCUCUGCAAUUUCUCUAGAAAACAUGGAUUGUUUUGGUUUAA
rnacentral:lncRNA from 1 species